GACGAACGCUGGCGGCGUGCUUAACACAUGCAAGUCGAACGGAAAGGCCCUUUUGGGGGUACUCGAGUGGCGAACGGGUGAGUAACACGUGAGUAACCUGCCCUUGCCUCCGGGUUAACUUCAGGAAACUGGGGCUAAUUCCGGAUAGGAAUCCUUGCUGCAUGGUGGGGGUUGGAAAGCUUCGGCGGCUUUGGAUGGACUCGCGGCCUAUCAGCUUGUUGGUGGGGUAGUGGCUUACCAACGCUUUGACGGGUAGCUGGACUGAGGGGGCGAGCGGCCACAUUGGGACUGAGGUGCGGCCCAAGCGCCUACGGGUGGCAACAGGGGGGAAGAUUGCACAAGGGGCGGAAGCCUGGUGCAGCAACGCCGCGGGCGGGAUGGCGGCCUUCGGGUUGUAAACCGGUUUCAGCAGGAGCGAAGCUUGUGGUGACGGUACCUGCAGAAGAAGCACCGGCUAACUACGUG
rnacentral:rRNA from 1 species